CCAGAGAUAAGCCACCUGGGCAGGAGACUCCACUCCCAUCUUUGCACUGGUUCACUGUAGAACAUUUAGAAGUAGAAAAUAAAUAAAGAAAAACGUGUAUGUGUUUCACACUCCUCUGAAAUUGUUCGAUGUGCCUCCCAAACACCCACCCUAGUUCUUCAGGAGCAGAGGUCUCUACUAGCAAGAUCAUGGCCAUGACCCUUCCUGUGCAGACUCUUCAGGGGCAUCUUUGGUUAGGAAGAGACUCAUGUACAUCCUCUGGAAUAAGCAUAUCAGGAGGGGACCCCUGACAACCGAACAGAAUUCCAAACAGGCUCAUCAAAUUCCCCCCAAAAAUUGUGAAUUGAGUUAUUAAAUGAUAAAUAAAUCAUGCCUCCACCAAAA